rnacentral:misc_RNA from 1 species
UGUAGGAGCUGCCGAAGGCUGCGGUCUUUUGAGGUUGAUUGAAAAAACAAGAUCAAAAGAUCGCAGCCUUCGGCAGCUCCUACA